rnacentral:rRNA from 1 species
UACGGAGGGUGCAAGCGUUAUCCGGAUUCACUGGGUUUAAAGGGAGCGCAGGCGGAUUGGUAAGUCAGUGGUGAAAGGCUUAGGCUUAACUUGGGAACUGCCAUUGAUACUAUCAGUCUUGAAUGUUGUUGAGGUUUGCGGAAUGGGUCAUGUAGCGGUGAAAUGCUUAGAUAUGACAUAGAACACCAAUUGCGAAGGCAGCUGGCUACACAAAUAUUGACGCUGAGGCACGAAAGCGUGGGGAUCAAACAGG